GUUUUCCGGAGUUCCCUCAGCUAUUACGGAUAGAUGAUCACUCUGCAUCGUGGCUACUCAUAGCCCUUUUGACAAAUCCACAUCAACUGAAGACUCACCGCAGCUGCACAGCUAGUUCUGAUCGUGUGCUGGAAAAUCCUUACCAGUAGAAACACCAACAUAUAUGAGCUCUGAAGCUACAGAAGACUCCAAUGCAUACGAGGCUUCUGAUCAUGGGAACUUGGAAUUUCAUGAAGAUUUAUGAUGUAGGUUAAUGCAAAACCAUACAACAUAUUUGGCCGUCUGGAAGUGGCAAUGUUCGUCAGUUGUAGAUGCAAGCACAUUGUUUUCCAUUCUUGUUUGUACAGAAAUCAAAUUAGUGUAAUAUGUUCCAGGUUUUAAUUUUGGGGUAAUUUCAUAUGGAGGAUGCCAUCCUGCAUAGCAAGAAAAACAGAGGAAUGAUUUGUAUUUACCCUGUAGACUGGGUUUAAAUAGUAUGGAUUGCAUGUUUUAGUUGUAUCUGAUAACAGAAAAACAUCAAUAAUAUUUGAGAUCUAAUUAUUAUGUUAA